GCAUAACUAAGAAAUGCUGUAAAGCUAUAGCAAUACACACAGAAAAAUGAAGAUGGAGAAAUAUGAUUUGAAUAAAGACAAUGCAGCAUGGGGUGAAGUGGUGGACAAAGCAAUCAGAGAACUUUGAAGACCACAAAUGGAUAUAUCAACAAACAUAGAUACUUCAGAUCAUAUGAACUCCUCAUUUUGCUUCGUUGCAUCUCAAAAACUUGGCAAGACAUAUAACUUAGAAAUUUGAAGCUAUGAUUCAAGGAGAGAAAAAAUGAACGUAACAAAGUAUCAUUUGGAUAAGGAGUGGGUAAAGGAAACAAUCAGAGAACUUUGAAGACCAUGAAUGUAUGUAUCAACAUCAGAUACUUCAGAAUGUAUGACCUCCUCAUGUUGUUUCUCAACGACUUAAACACUACAGUUAAGACUCAAGCAUCACUAAGGUCAUAUUCAGAUGGCUACAGUUCAGACCCAAGCAUCACUAAGGCCAAAUUCAGAUGGCAUAAUUCAAAAGCUUUCACAUGAAAGAAAAGCUUUGGACAUGAAGCGAUCAGAGAACUUUGAAGACCAUAUAUGUGUAUUAUCCACAU
rnacentral:lncRNA from 1 species